UGAGGAACAUGACCUUCGGCGGGGGAUAGCCGGCCCAACGGCCGGGUAAUACCGCGUACGACCUUUCGGGGACAUCCCCGGAUGGUGAAAGCAGCAAUGCGCCGAUGGAGUGCCUCGCGGCCUAUCAGCUAGUUGGUGAGGUAACGGCUCACCAAGGCGACGACGGGUAGCUGGUCUGAGAGGAUGGCCAGCCACAUUGGGACUGAGAUACGGCCCAGACCUCCGUACGGGAGNAG
rnacentral:rRNA from 1 species